UGAGACUAUUGGUGCAGAACCCAUUCCUAACAUAGAGCUGCGGGAGACAGAAAACAAGAACGCAGAAGUCUGGCAGGAUCUGGCCUUCUUCGACCGAAUCAAUAGAGGUAUUGCUGGCCAUAGGGGCCUUUCCAGGGCCGAGGGACUGAGAAGGCCAGAGCAGGGCCGGUUCCUAACAUAACGUUGGGAAGGUUGGCAACCAGAAAUGCAGAAGGCCCGCAGGAACCGCCCAUUGUCCUCCACCCAUUCAAUCCAGGUAUGGCUUGGCACUGGGGGCCUUUCCAAGGCCAUGAUACUGAGACUACUGGUGCAGGGUCCAUUCCUAACAUAGAGAGGUGAGAGACAGGAAACAGGAAUGCAGAAGACUGGCGGGAACUGGCCUUCCUCCUCGGCGAAUUCGAUAGAGGUAUCGCUGGGCACAGGGGGCCAUUCCAGAGCAGCGAAACUGAGACUACUGGUGCAGGGCCCAUUCCUAACAUAGAGCUGCGAAACACAGGAAACGGGAAUGCAGAAGGCCGAUGGGAACUGCCCUUUCCCCUCCGCCAAUUCAAUACAGAAUUCUGUUAUAGACCAACAUUUGAGAAUGCCAGAACACAGAGUCGUGGCAAACGGUUUAAGGUCAAUGACCAUCUGGAGUAUGACUGUAACCCUGGAUUUGAAAACAAACAUGGAAACACCUCAGGGACCAUAGUAUGUGGUGACAGUGGCUGGUCUGAUACACCAACAUGUUUUGAUCCUAAAGAAAAAUGUGGACUUCCUCCAGCCAUUGACAAUGGAGACAUAACCACAAUGCCUUUAAAAGAAUAUGCUCCAGGAUCAUUAGUUAAGUACCAAUGUCAGUCCUACUACAAACGAUGGGGCAAUAGUACCAUAAUAUGUAAUAAAGGAAAGUGGACAAUACCAACAGAAUGUUUAGAUCCUUGUGUAAUAUCAAAAGACAUCAUGGAUAAAUAUAAUAUACAAAUACAAGAGAGAAGAGGAAAAGAGAUUUAUUUUCAAUGGGGAGAAACUGUUAAAUUUGUAAAAUUGUAAAAGUGGGUAUCAAAAACAGACUGAACAGAAAUCAUUUUGAGCAACCCGUAUGAAUGGAAACCUGACAUAU